rnacentral:rRNA from 1 species
GCAGAGCACUCCUACGGGAGGCAGCAGUGGGGAAUAUUGGACAAUGGGGGAAACCCUGAUCCAGCCAUGCCGCGUGUGUGAAGAAGGCCUUCGGGUUGUAAAGCACUUUCAGUGGGGAGGAAAGGUUGAUGGUUAAUACCUAUCAGCUGUGACGUUACCCCACAGAAGAAGCACCGGCUAACUCCGUGCCAGCAGCCGCGGUAAUACGGAGGGUGCAAGCGUUAAUCGGAAUUACUGGGCGUAAAGCGUGCGCAGGCGGUCUGUUAAGCGAGAUGUGAAAGCCCCGGGCUCAACCUGGGAACUGCAUUUCGAACUGGCAGACUAGAGUCUUGUAGAGGGGGGUAGAAUUCCAGGUGUAGCGGUGAAAUGCGUAGAGAUCUGGAGGAAUACCGGUGGCGAAGGCGGCCCCCUGGACAAAGACUGACGCUCAGGCACGAAAGCGUGGGGAGCAAACAGGAUUAGAUACCCGGUAG